rnacentral:rRNA from 1 species
UGGGGAAUAUUGGUCAAUGGGCGCAAGCCUGAACCAGCCACGCCGCGUGAGUGAUGAAGGCCUUCGGGUUGUAAAGCUCUGUGGGGAGGGAAGAAAACGGCCGGUAAGAAACGACCGGUCCUUGACGGUACCUCCUUAGCAAGCACCGGCUAACUCUGUGCCAGCAGCCGCGGUAAUACAGAGGGUGCGAACGUUGCUCGGAAUUACUGGGCGUAAAGCGCGUGUAGGCGGACUCGCAAGUCAGAUGUGAAAUCCCCGGGCUCAACUCGGGAACUGCAUCUGAAACUGCGAGCCUUGAGUACCGGAGAGGGUGGCGGAAUUCCUGGUGUAGAGGUGAAAUUCGUAGAUAUCAGGAGGAACACCGGUGGCGAAGGCGGCCACCUGGACGGUAACUGACGCUGAGACGCGAAAGCGUGGGGAGCAAACA